GUGGGAUUUCACAGAAAAAAUUGCCCUGAUUUGGGAUCUGGCGAAUAUUUUGCACGGAUUUGCGGAUCUUAUUAAUACUGCGGACUGCGGAUUUAUCUAAUAUUUUGGCUCGGAUUGUGGAUUUAGCUUGCAAUUUAGUUCGGAUCCUGGAUUGUGACUUCAUAUAAUAGAGCUUUUAGCGGAUUCAAAUUUAGACAAGAUCAUUGUCGGUCCGCGGAUUUUGCUUCAACUUUGGGCGGAUCGGCUGAUUUGUAUAUCCCUAUUCACCCCCCUCCCCCCCAAAAAAAAGGGCUCGCACGGUGAAAAAGUGGAGACAUGAUUCGUCAUCAGCUCGCAUUCUAUGUCUAUUAUUUCAGUGGAAAAUAGUCUCAACCAGUUAUGUUCAAGAUUGUAGGUGUCUUGAAGCCAAGGUGUUCUUUCAGUUACUGACGUCAUCAGCGUGCAAUAAUAUAAAAAAUGUAUUAUUGUACGCUGUGGUUACAAAGUCCCGGCGCGGUGCACUG
rnacentral:lncRNA from 1 species